CAAAGGAUUGAGGCCUCCCUUGAGAGCUUCCGAAACCUUAACAAUACCUCCAAUGUCUCUUGGGUUCACUGAGACUGCAACAUAGUGAAUAGUAGUUAAAGAGGCUUUAACUCUCUGGAGGUCAUGUGACUGAUCGGGGGAAGUUCAUUCCAAGUAAAAACAUUACUGUGUAAAUGUCCCACUGUGGUCUCAGGGGAUUUUUUGUUGUGUGUCUCCAGGGAAAAUAAUGUCUCCUUCAAGGAUUGCACUUGUAAUCAGUGUUGUGUUGAUCAUUUCAUUGAUCAUGGUUGCUGCUGCAGUGAAACGAAAGAGGUUAUUAACAAUCAGAAGACAUGAAAAUGAUUGUUUUAUUGCAUCUUAACCUUAGAGGUUGAACAGUGAGUUAAGCUAUUUUAGAUUUAUUGUCCACAGUUCAAAUCUACCGUUAUCCUUUAAUUGCAACACACAGCACUUUAAGUAUUUAUAAAACUAGAAGCAACGCACUUGUUCAGGCUUUGUGGAAUUUAAUGUUUAAUUGUGAAAAAAGAAAAAGUAUGUUGUCAAUUAAUGUCACUUGUAUUCACUGUGACUGCAACAUAGUAAAUAGUAGAAGUUUGCCUCUAACAUAUAAUGUGUCGCACUUUAGUUUUUGAU